UAGGCCUGAUAUAAAAUGCGUGAACUGAUACGGUGUUAGCACUGGACUUAUACAGGUCAGCGUUACAGAUAACAAUCGAAAUCUACCUUACGGACAAAACCUCUACAGCACGAAAAUGAAUGCAAUGGUGGUGCUAUUUGUUGGGCUGGUAUGCCUCUUUCUGGCUUCUGACGUCACCGCCUAUUACUGCCACUGGUGUAACGAAGAUUUAAGGACAUGCAAACGGUCUUGUCGUGGUGGGAGGAAUGGAAGACAUGGGAGAAAUAACCGUCAUAGCUCCAAGUGCCAGCUACCUUGCUAUCAAGAGGCAGUUUACUGUCUGAACAUGUGCGAUACCCAAGUCCCUUUCGCUAUGUCACAUCUAGAUACAGAGGACAGGCAGGCUGGCUCGUCAUUACAAAUGAAGGAAAGGCAGCGAUCAGGAUAGAUUAAAAGUAUCUCCAAAAUUGGUCUAUAAAUAACCAUAGAUAGAUCUCCUGCAAUUCCGAUAUGAUUAAAAAAUAAAGUUUUCAAGAUCAGAUCAAGAA